rnacentral:rRNA from 1 species
GAUGAACGCUAGCGACAGGCUUAACACAUGCAAGUCGAGGGGCAGCAUAAAAGUAGCAAUACUUUGGUGGCGACCGGCGCACGGGUGAGUAACGCGUAUGCAACCUACCUAUCAGAGGGGAAUAACCCGGCGAAAGUCGGACUAAUACCGCAUAAAACAGGGGCACCGCAUGGUGAUAUUUGUUAAAGAAAUUCGCUGAUAGAUGGGCAUGCGUUCCAUUAGGUAGUUGGUGAGGUAACGGCUCACCAAGCCGACGAUGGAUAGGGGAACUGAGAGGUUGGUCCCCCACACUGGUACUGAGACACGGACCAGACCCCUACGGGAGGCAGCAGUGAGGAAUAUUGGUCAAUGGGCGAGAGCCUGAACCAGCCAAGUCGCGUGAAGGAAGAAGGAUCUAUGGUUCGUAAACUUCUUUUGCAGGGGAAUAAAGUGCAGGACGUGUCCUGUUUUGUAUGUACCCUGAGAAUAAGGAUCGGCUAACUCCGUGCCAGCAGCCGCGGUAAACACG